rnacentral:rRNA from 1 species
GACAAGAAAUAACAAUACGGGGCUUAAUGUCUUGUAAUUGGAAUGAUGGGAAUUUAAACCUCUUCCAGAGUAUCAAUUGGAGGGCAAGUCUGGUGCCAGCAGCCGCGGUAAUUCCAGCUCCAAUAGCGUAUAUUAAAUUUGUUGCAGUUAAAAAGCUCGUAGUUGAAUUUCUGCUGCAUUACAUCUCUCUUGUUUGAGUUUGUUAUUGUGGCUUAUUUCGGAUUGAUUUUUAUCUUUCCGGAUGAUUACUUUGAGAAAAUUAGAGUGCUCAAAGCAGGCUUUUGCCUUGAAUAGUUUAGCAUGGAAUAAUAGAGUAGGACUUUGGUUCUAUUUUGUUGGUUUUAGGUACCAAAGUAAUGGUUAAUAGGAACAGUUGGGGGCAUUCGUAUUUAACUGUCAGAGGUGAAAUUCUUAG